CCUUCAAGCAGUCCAAAAUAUUAGUCAAUGCUCGAAAGAGUGAACUAGCUAACUGAAAUCAAUUUAUAAAAUUCGAUAACAUAAAGGGAAAAUAAUCGAUAUUACCUUAUUAUUAGUGUCGUCCAAAUCUCGGUGCCAGAAGACUCGGUAAGGCCAGAGACACAAACGUUAAUCGUCUUAAUCAGGCGUAAAGGGUUUGUAGGCGGCUUUAAAAUUUACUUAUAAAUAAAUAAGUAAAAAAUAAAAGCUAGAAUCAAAUAGAGGAUAUAUUAAAUAAUGCUUAGAGCAGGUCUGAUAUCUAUAGAUACUAAGUAGAAUAUUAAAGGCGAAAGCUUUUUUCCAUUAAUGAUUGACGCUCAGAAACGAAGGUGAGGAUAGGAAAUAGGAUUAGAUACCCAAAAUACCCCUCUCUGUCAACGAUGAAUGGUAGUUAUUAGUAAAAAAUUUAUUAAUGGCAAUGUUAACACGAUAACCAUUCCGCCUUGUGAGUACAACUGCAAAGUUGAAAACAAAAAAAUUAGUCGGUUUCGGAGCAAACGAAGUGAAGCAUGUUAUUUAAUUCAAUAAAUCCGCA
rnacentral:rRNA from 1 species